rnacentral:rRNA from 1 species
AACGGCGGCCGUAACUAUAACGGUCCUAAGGUAGCGAAAUUCCUUGUCAGGUAAGUUCUGACCCGCAUGAAAGGCGUAAUGAUUUGGGCACUGUCUCAACAGCCCGCCCGGCGAAAUUGUAGUACCGGUGAAGAUGCCGGUUACCCGCGACAAGACGGAAAGACCCCAUGGAGCUUUACUGUAGCCUAAUAUUGGGUUUCGAUGUUGCAUGCACAGGAUAGAUGGGACACAGGGAAACAAGUGCUUUGGCAUUUGUGGAGUGGCCGUUGGGAUACCAUCCUUGCGAUAUUGGAAUUCUAACCUGCGCCUUUGAAUCAAGGCGGGGGACAUUGUUAGGUGGGCAGUUUGACUGGGGCGGUCGCCUCCUAAAGAGUAACGGAGGCGUUCAAAGGUUCGCUCAGCUUGAACGGAAAUCAAGCAAAAGAGUGCAAACGCAGAAGCGAGCCUAACUGCGAGACUGACGGGUCGAGCAGUAACGAAAGUUGGAGUUAGUGAUCCGGUGGUAUGUGAGUGGAAAUGCCAUCGCUCAACGGAUAAAAGUUACCCUGGGGAUAACAGGCUGAUCUCCCCCAAGAGUCCACAUCGACGGGGAGGUUUGGCACCUCGAUGUCGGCUCAUCGCAUCCUGGGGCUGUAUUCGGUCCCAAGGGUUUGGCUGUUCGCCAAUUAAAGCGGUACGCGAGCUGGGUUCAGAACGUCGUGAGACAGUUCGGUCCCUAUCUGUCGUGGGCGCAGGAUAUUUGAUGGGAGCUGUUCCUAGUACGAGAGGACCGGAGCGGACGUACCUCUGGCGCACCAGUUGUUCUGCCAAGGGCAUAGCUGGGCAACUAUGUACGGAUCGGAUAAACGCUGAAAGCAUCUAAGCGUGAAGCCGACCCAAAGAUAAGAUAUCCCAUUGUUUCAAACAAGUAAGACCCCUUGAAGACUACAAGGUUGAUAGGCACGAUGUGUAAGUGGAGCGAUCCAUUCAGCAAGCGUGUACUAAUAGGUCGAGGGCUUGACCAC